UUUAAUUUAAGUCUUCCCAGAGAAAUGAAAUUUUGCUAUAGACUUCACUAUCUAAGCUUCAAAAAUAUCCCAGAGUUCCACAGUAACUAAACAUUUCAGCGCCCGCGUCUUGAGGACUUGAGAGAAAUCACUUCAAGACCGGCUAUACUAAAGAAAGGGAGAUUAAGGUUGAAGGUAAUCCCUACCCAAGGCAAAACUAUCUGGUCCAGUGAAUAAGAAAG
rnacentral:misc_RNA from 1 species